rnacentral:rRNA from 1 species
CCAAACUGUUGCCUCGGCGGGAUCUCUGCCCCGGGUGCGUCGCAGCCCCGGACCAAGGCGCCCGCCGGAGGACCAACCAAAACUCUUAUUGUAUACCCCCUCGCGGGUUUUUUUUAUAAUCUGAGCCUUCUCGGCGCCUCUCGUAGGCGUUUCGAAAAUGAAUCAAAACUUUCAACAACGGAUCUCUUGGUUCUGGCAUCGAUGAAGAACGCAGCGAAAUGCGAUAAGUAAUGUGAAUUGCAGAAUUCAGUGAAUCAUCGAAUCUUUGAACGCACAUUGCGCCCGCCAGUAUUCUGGCGGGCAUGCCUGUCCGAGCGUCAUUUCAACCCUCGAACCCCUCCGGGGGGUCGGCGUUGGGGAUCGGCCCUGCCUUGGCGGUGGCCGUCUCCGAAAUACAGUGGCGGUCUCGCCGCAGCCUCUCCUGCGCAGUAGUUUGCACACUCGCAUCGGGAGCGCGGCGCGUCCACAGCCGUUAAACACCCAACUUCUGAAAUGUUGACCUCGGAUCAGGUAGGAAUACCCGCUGAACUUAAGCAUAUCAAUAAGCCGGAGGAA